GAGCAAGGAACAGCUCCUCGGAACGCCCUUCUGCCCUCCCCGCCCCGCGCCGGUGGCACCGGGCUGGAGGGGCUCGGUCCCGCGGGGAGCGGCCCUGUGCGCUGUUUCAUACCUGAGAACUCCGGCACCAUUCCACAUCACUCAAACACAUGGCUGUGGCAUCUGGUAUGGAUACCAGAAGACACAUGAUCCAUUGAUUUCAGAGGAGAAGCAACAGUGACCCAAGCACAAGUGCCACUGCUGAGCUCAGCAUCAGCUUGUGUCUUACAUAAACCUUAAGGAACUGGAAGGGCAUAUGGUUAACUCCUGCUGGAAUAAUCUCUGCUGACAGCCUCUGAGACCAUUUGGAAAGCGUCAGAAGUGAGAUGUUUCGUACCAUGCUGCAUUACUGGAGCCGGACACAGCAGGAAGUCUCCUAUCCUGCCCUACUGGUAUGAACCUGCUCCAGCGAGGAACAGCUGAUAGAGACAACAAUAAAAACUUCACACAAUAAAAACUCCUCUAUUUUUUGCUGA